GCUUGUCUCAAAGAUUAAGCCAUGCAUGUCUUAGUGUAAAUAACUCUUAUGAAACUGCGAAUGGCUCAUUAAAUCAGUUAUCAAAUACGUGAUGGUCGCCUACUACAUGGAUAACCGUAGUAAUUCUAGAGCUAAUACAUGCGCCCAAACCCAACUUCUUGGAAGGGUUGUGUUUAUUAGAUACAGAACCAACCCAGGCUCCGCCUGGCCUUGAGGUGAUUCACAAUAACCGAACGAAUCGCAUAGCUGCCGCUGGCGAUAGACCAUUCAAGUUUCUGACCUAUCAGCUAUCGUCGGUAGGGUAUUGGCCUACCGUGGCAAUGACGGGUAACGGAGAAUUAGGGUUCGAUUCCGGAGAGGGAGCCUGAGAAACGGCUACCACAUCUAAGGAAGGCAGCAGG
rnacentral:rRNA from 1 species